AUGGUGGAAUUCAAGUUUAAAACGUAAUACCUUAACCUUUCAACCAAUAUUUUUUCUUCAGCAAGAAUAACAUGCAAAUGUCUCGCUGUUGGAGAUCCUGUUUUCUUGGCACCUUUUUUUUCCUUUUAGAUUUGUUAUUAGUUUUUUUUUCCAGUGUUGUAGUUGCAUGUUUGAAGAUUUUGUCAUGGAUUACUAACAUUCCUUAGUGGAUGAAUGGUAAGUUUUAUGGAACUGAAAAGUACUUGUUAUAUAUUUUCUUUUGAUCGAUAAAGAAAAUAGUUAGCCAUCUUUCUUUAAAUUUGAGGGAUUUCUAAGGCUGUAAAUUUUGGCUCUUGUGCAAUAUAGCAGAAGGUUACUCUAUUCCCUAAGUUUGUUCUUGAGCAUGGUAAAUGUUCAAUGCAUUUUGGUUGGCUUUGCUUUAGGUGGUUUUACUCCCUAGCUCUUUGGAAUGAUCAAGAACAAAUGGUCGUUUUUGCAAGGGGGCGAGGACCUUUUUGCUUGCAUGGUGCUAGAUAAUUAUCCCAUUUACCAAGCUUUUAUUGUCUCCAAACGAGGCUAGAAUCAUUGGAGUUCAUAGUCAGCUUUCCUAAUACAACCUGAGAACCUAUAUUGUAUCCUACCUUGUUUCUUUAGCAAAUGCUCUCUCUACCUCUCUCUACAUCAGAGACACACACUACAUCCUGUUUUUUUAUUUAUUUAUUUCCUUCUAUAGUUUCCUUUUUUCUGUUUUUAAAUAGACUAAUAGGUCAUCUGCAUGGUUUUCUAAACACCAUCAAAUGUUCAAACAUGUUAGAGAUGCUACUUCGAUUUUGUUGACUUGAUAUAUGAUGAAUCAAGAAGCCAAUUAUAUUUUAAGAGAUGCUAUGCACCUAGGGCUGUGCAUCGAAAUCGAAUUCGGUAAAUCGGAAUUUUGAAAUCGGAAUUUUUCGAAAUUUUGACAUAAAUUUUUCCGACCGAAUUCGAUUUCGAAAUGGGGAAUUCCGAUUUCGAAUUCGAUGCCGAAUUGAAUUCGGAAUUCGGUGAAUUCCGAAUUCACCGAAUUCAAACCUGCUCCUUUUUUUUCCCUUGUUCAAAAACGGAAGAAACCUGUUCGAAUUUAAUGACUUCCCCAGGUGCAGUCCCCUUGGAUUCCACAAGUCGGCUGUUUCUCUUAUUCAAAUUCAAGAGGAAAGGAUAAAGGAUGAAGCUGAUAACAUAACAAUUAUAGCCUAUACAAACAUCCUAGCAGAGUUUGAAAUGCAGAAAGGAGGUGGAGGGCUUGGAGGAAGAGGAGGAGUAGACGGAUUUAAGGGCGGCGGCAGCGGAGGAGGAGGAGGUGGAGGGGCGGCGAGAAGAGGAGGAAGGAUUGGUCGAGAGUGGUGAGGCGCUCGCAGAGGCAGGAGGGGCAGAAACCAGUAAAUUGUUCCUGAAGGUGGCGGUCACAGCUGAAGGAGGAACGCGGAGGCUGCGGCGGAGGAGGAGACGGAGAUGCUGGGUCAGCAGCAGUGGGCUUCAUAACCGGUGGUGGUACUGCGAAAUGCCCCCCAGUCCAGUGCUGCUCAUACUACUAUUUGUCACUGCUUACAUUCACAUAAAUUCGCUAGAUCUAACUCUGGAAUUUAAGAGAAUGUUUUUGGUUAGGAUUCCUGGGUCUCUGCGUGUAUUUGUGCGUGUGAAUGUGAAUGUGGUGUUUCCCUUCUUUCUUUUCUUUUUUUUUUCUUUUGUACGUUUGUUUUUGUUAAUUGUUGUUAUAUAAUAUAUAUUAUUUAUGUAUUGUUAAAAAAUAUUAUAUUAUAUUAUAUAUAACUAUUAUUAUUCGAAAUCGAAAUCAUAGUUCCGAUUUCGAAUUCCCCAAUUCGAAUUCGGUGAUUCCGAUUUCAAAAAUUAUAUUUUCGAAUUCGACCCGAUUUCGACCAAUUCGAAAUCGGAAUUACCGAAUUUCAUUUCGAAUUACCGAAAUUCCGAAUUCGAAAUUCCGAAUUCAAUUCGAAAUCGGUCGAUAAAUCGGAAUUUUUCGACUUUGCACACCCCUAUAUGCACCUACUUAGAUCAGAAGUUGUAGUGGUUUUACUGAAAAAUGUUGUUCACAUUUUGGUUGUUGAUUAUUAUAGAAAUUGACUACUGUCACAUUGGCU
rnacentral:lncRNA from 1 species